rnacentral:rRNA from 1 species
GAUGAACGCUGGCGGCGUGCCUAAUACAUGCAAGUCGAGCGAACGGACGAGAAGCUUGCUUCUCUGAUGUUAGCGGCGGACGGGUGAGUAACACGUGGAUAACCUACCUAUAAGACUGGGAUAACUUCGGGAAACCGGAGCUAAUACCGGAUAAUAUUUUGAACCGCAUGGUUCAAAAGUGAAAGACGGUCUUGCUGUCACUUAUAGAUGGAUCCGCGCUGCAUUAGCUAGUUGGUAAGGUAACGGCUUACCAAGGCAACGAUGCAUAGCCGACCUGAGAGGGUGAUCGGCCACACUGGAACUGAGACACGGUCCAGACUCCUACGGGAGGCAGCAGUAGGGAAUCUUCCGCAAUGGGCGAAAGCCUGACGGAGCAACGCCGCGUGAGUGAUGAAGGUCUUCGGAUCGUAAAACUCUGUUAUUAGGGAAGAACAUAUGUGUAAGUAACUGUGCACAUCUUGACGGUACCUAAUCAGAAAGCCACGGCUAACUACGUGCCAGCAGCCGCGGUAAUACGUAGGUGGCAAGCGUUAUCCGGAAUUAUUGGGCGUAAAGCGCGCGUAGGCGGUUUUUUAAGUCUGAUGUGAAAGCCCACGGCUCAACCGUGGAGGGUCAUUGGAAACUGGAAAACUUGAGUGCAGAAGAGGAAAGCGGAAUUCCAUGUGUAGCGGUGAAAUGCGCAGAGAUAUGGAGGAACACCAGUGGCGAAGGCGACUUUCUGGUCUGUAACUGACGCUGAUGUGCGAAAGCGUGGGGAUCAAACAGGAUUAGAUACCCUGGUAGUCCACGCCGUAAACGAUGAGUGCUAAGUGUUAGGGGGUUUCCGCCCCUUAGUGCUGCAGCUAACGCAUUAAGCACUCCGCCUGGGGAGUACGACCGCAAGGUUGAAACUCAAAGGAAUUGACGGGGACCCGCACAAGCGGUGGAGCAUGUGGUUUAAUUCGAAGCAACGCGAAGAACCUUACCAAAUCUUGACAUCCUUUGACAACUCUAGAGAUAGAGCCUUCCCCUUCGGGGGGGCAAAGUGACAGGUGGUGCAUGGUUGUCGUCAGCUCGUGUCGUGAGAUGUUGGGUUAAGUCCCGCAACGAGCGCAACCCUUAAGCUUAGUUGCCAUCAUUAAGUUGGGCACUCUAAGUUGACUGCCGGUGACAAACCGGAGGAAGGUGGGGAUGACGUCAAAUCAUCAUGCCCCUUAUGAUUUGGGCUACACACGUGCUACAAUGGACAAUACAAAGGGCAGCGAAACCGCGAGGUCAAGCAAAUCCCAUAAAGUUGUUCUCAGUUCGGAUUGUAGUCUGCAACUCGACUACAUGAAGCUGGAAUCGCUAGUAAUCGUAGAUCAGCAUGCUACGGUGAAUACGUUCCCGGGUCU